UACGGAGGGUGCAAGCGUUAAUCGGAAUUACUGGGCGUAAAGCGUGCGUAGGCGGUUCGUUAAGUCUGUUGUGAAAGCCCCGGGCUCAACCUGGGAAUGGCAAUGGAUACUGGCGAGCUAGAGUGUGUCAGAGGAUGGUGGAAUUCCCGGUGUAGCGGUGAAAUGCGCAGAUAUCAGGAAGAACACCCGUGGCGAAGGCGGCUCUCUGGAAGCGCAACUGGACGCUGAGACGCGAAAGCGUGGGAGCAAACAGG
rnacentral:rRNA from 1 species